rnacentral:misc_RNA from 1 species
CCCAACUAUCCCUAUUAAUCAUUACGUCGAUCCUAGAAACCAACAAAAUAGAAUCAAACGUCCUAUUUCAUUAUUCCAUGCUAAUGUAUUCAAGCGUGAGCCUGCUUUAAACACUCUAAUUUUUUCAAAGUAACAGUCCUGAUUCCCCACAACACCAAAUAAAUGACAUCAUGGUUCGUCAGAAGGGAGAAACCAACAAUGCCAGUACGUACCUAGGCACGACCGACAUGAUGGUCCCGAAAUUCAACUACGAGCUUUUUAACUGCAGCAACUUUAAUAUACGCUAUUGGAGCUGGAAUUACCGCGGCUGCUGGCACCAGACUUGCCCUCCAA